rnacentral:lncRNA from 1 species
UAGACAGCAGUUUGUGGGUAUCUGAGCCGGAAACCCUCACGAGACAAAACUCGUCCACUAGGGCCACCUAGGGGUUUAAAGCCUUAUUGCAUACGGUAAAUGCAAUCGCGAUUCCUGCGAAAGUGAGUUAGCUAUUAUUUUGCUCGAGGACUAGCAAAGUGUAGGUUGGGGGGUGUGAUAAGUUCUAAAUAAUGCAUAAAUUAAUAUCUUUUUCAUAGCACUUAUCAUCAUUUUAAUGCACAUAUUUUAUAUUUAAACAUGAAAAAAAUAAAUGUUCCCUUUCAUCAUUACAUUUUAAUAAAGUAUUAAAAAUAAUUCAAGUUUGAUUU